rnacentral:rRNA from 1 species
AUUGAACGCUGGCGGAAUGCUUUACACAUGCAAGUCGAGCGGCAGCACGGGGGCAACCCUGGUGGCGAGCGGCGAACGGGUGAGUAACACAUCGGAACGUACCCUGUCGUGGGGGAUAACGAGUCGAAAGAUUCGCUAAUACCGCAUACGACCCGAGGGUGAAAGCGGGGGAUCGCAAGACCUCGCGCGACUGGAGCGGCCGAUGGCGGAUUAGCUAGUUGGUGGGGUAAAGGCCCACCAAGGCGACGAUCCGUAGCGGGUCUGAGAGGACGGCCCGCCACACUGGGACUGAGACACGGCCCAGACUCCUACGGGAGGCAGCAGUGGGGAAUUUUGGACAAUGGGGGCAACCCUGAUCCAGCCAUUCCGCGUGAGUGAAGAAGGCC